UGGGAGGGUUUUUUUCCCCUCCUCGAGCUACCACCUUACCGUGGUGGAGGGGUUUGUGUGUCCCAAUGAUCCCAGGAGCUAUGUUGUCAGGGGCUUUAUGCCUCUGAAGGGUCACCCAAGGCAAACAGGUCGUGGGGGAGGGACCAGACUGUAACGGGUAUUGACUGGACCCAAUUGCAGCACAAACAAGCAGGUUCACUUUAACAACAGUCUUUAUUGAACACCAAAUCCAAUGAGGCAGCAGAGUAUAGCAGGUGGGUAUGGCAGGAUUCGAACUCGGGUCUUCCGGGUGAUAGGCGAGCAGAUUAGCAGUGGACCACAGGUCAGGCAAGAGUUUUGAACUCGUGAGCAGGGAAUUGUCCACAGUCUUAAUUUGCUCUACGAGUGUAGUGAAGGGGAAAACGCUCAACUCACAGCUGGGGGAAGAUUUCUUGGAGAGUGGUUCAGGUGAGGACUGGGUGAGGAUCCAGAGCUUGCAGAGGAGCUGGCAGAACCAUCGUCGGCAGAGGAGGUGAGUUGGCGAGGUGAAGCUGACGAGAAGGGGGAUCUCAACAGAGCAGGAACAGGCUGAGUGACAUUCAGCUGCAGGCAGACGAAUAGCAGGAACCAGGCAGGCAAAGCUCGUAGUCAAGGACAGAAGGCAGGUAGGUUUACCGGGGCUGAGGCGAGAAGCAAAGGUCAGGGGCAGAUCAGGUCGAUACCAGGUAAGCAGUCCGAGGAUAAGCGCUGGAGAGUCAGGCAUGAGAGCGAAGACAAUCUGGCAAAGAGUGAGGGGAAAGAAGCUGCAUAUAUACUGGCCUGAUUGGAGAUGAUGAGCAGGUGAGAGCAGCAGGUGGAAGCAGUUAGCUGAUGAGGGGUGUGGCUGAGCAGCAGAGCAGGAGAGGGGCAGAGCAGACUGUUACACAGACUAAGAGUAGCUCAUCCAGACAAAGGUGCCAGGCGAGAAAAAAAAAACAAAAAAAAACAGACCUUAAAAUGGGCAAAAAACCUUUAAAACAAAAAACUCUGAAAAAGAAAACAAAAAAAACAAAAACACCCUAAAGGGGGUGUUUGGCACAAAAAAAAAAAAAUAGAAGAGCAAUCUUUGUAUUUAAAUACGAUCGUUUAAAUACAAACAGCAUUUUAGAGUGCAAAUCAGGAUUUAGGGGGAACCCCAGUACUGAGACAGCCCUUUUAAAAAUUUUGAAUGACAUCAGGUGCAGUUUUGAUAAUGGCAACCUCACAGUCUUGGUCCUGCUGGAUCUAACCGCCGCCGCCUUUGAUGCAGCAGACCAUGACAUUUUAUUAAAUAGACUUCAGCACCUGGUCGGCCUCUCAGGCACUGUUUUUAACUGGUUCACCUCUUAUCUCACUGAUCGCCACUCCGUUUCAGGUCCGUUUCAGGGUUGAUUGUAAGGUUCUUUUAUUAGUUUUUAGAUGUAUUAAUGGACUUGGCCCUUCUUUUUUAUCUGAUGUACUUUUACCAAAUCAACCCUCGCAGACCCUGAGGUCCUCCGGCACAGGCCUUUUAACCUUACCCAAAGUCAGAAACAAAAACCCACGGGGAGGCGGCGUUCAGUUUUUAUGGUCCCCGGUUGUGGAACCAUCCAACUUACCAUUUUUUAAGUAAAAUCUUGGAAAAACUUGUUCUUCAACAAGUAAAUGAUUGAACCUUUAAAACAAAAAAAAAAACCCUUAUGGUUUUUCCCUCCCCCAUGGGAGGGUUUUUUUCCCCUCCUCGAGCUACCACCUUACCGUGGUGGAGGGGUUUGUGUGUCCCAAUGAUCCCAGGAGCUAUGUUGUCAGGGGCUUUAUGCCUCUGAAGGGUCACCCAAGGCAAACAGGUCGUGGGGGAGGGACCAGACUGUAACGGGUAUUGACUGGACCCAAUUGCAGCACAAACAAGCAGGUUCACUUUAACAACAGUCUUUAUUGAACACCAAAUCCAAUGAGGCAGCAGAGUAUAGCAGGUGGGUAUGGCAGGAUUCGAACUCGGGUCUUCCGGGUGAUAGGCGAGCAGAUUAGCAGUGGACCACAGGUCAGGCAAGAGUUUUGAACUCGUGAGCAGGGAGUUGUCCACAGUCUUAAUUUGCUCUACGAGUGUAGUGAAGGGGAAAACGCUCAACUCACAGCUGGGGGAAGAUUUCUUGGAGAGUGGUUUAGGUGAGGACUGGGUGAGGAUCCAGAGCUUGCAGAGGAGCUGGCAGAACCAACGUCGGCAGAGGAGGUGAGUUGGCGAGGUGAAGCUGACGAGAAGGGGGAUCUCAACAGAGCAGGAACAGGCUGAGUGACAUUCAGCUGCAGGCAG
rnacentral:lncRNA from 1 species